UCAAAGUCAGUCUUGAACAAAAUCAAAAGCCGACGAGUGUACAAUGAAUACUUGUCUUGUUGCAAAAUAAUACCAGCUGCAGCAGCAGCAACUGCUUGGUUCAGAGCAGACAUCUUGACAAGUGAAAAGAGUAUGUGUACUUCACUCCAGGUGUGAACAGGAAGAGGCAUGCGCAUCCACAGAGGAAGAGAUAUGCAGCUAGAGGAAUGCAUGAGCGUGUUGUAUGCGUAGAGGCACAAGAAGGUGCAUGGCAACCAGGCAUGGCAACCAGGCUCAAGGCAUCAAUGGACCGAAUGAUGGAAGUUAUUAAAAGUACAGCUGGUGAUAGUUUUUAAGCACAAAAACAAGCUAUAAUAGCAAAAUACGAAUGUAAUAAGUUUGAACUGCAUCAGAGAAAUGACACUCCUCAUACUUGUGGAAUGGAGGAGGUUAGAAAUGAAACGGAGGAAACACUGGAGGAGGUGAUCGAGCUUACUUCGAUCACCUUACAGUCUGGAGAAGUCUCGGUGAUUCAUCGCCUGGGGAAUCCCCGAGAUUAUGAUCGUCCUGUCAUCAUUCGAUUUUACCAGAUGAAGAAAAUUAAUCAAAUUAUUAAGAAAAAGGCCGAGCUAAAGGACAUAAAAAUAUUAGUAAAUGAAAACCGGACGAGCUGCUGUGAUAAGAUGGUGAAGGACCAGACAAGAGUGAAAAACAUCACGUCAAGAAACGGGAAAGUGGUGGCCUGGCUGAACGAGGAUCCGAACCAAGAAAGCUAAAGAGAGACACUCUCUAUUUAGCUUCCUUAAUCCGAACCGUGCCAUCGAGAUCAACAUUAAGGACAACAACUGGGCAAGAAGGGAAUCGUGACUGCUGCCUGGAAACGCUGGAAGAUGGAUUAUCUUGUAUGGGGCACUGCAUCAUAGGGACAGAACGAAUGGACCUGCGCACUAAAGCUUUACCAGUGAAUUUCUUCAAGUUCACCACAGUAACUAUUCCCAUGGCAGGUAUUUUAUUCACCAUUAUAUUAUUGACUGAUAUUUCUAUUGUACUGGAUACAACUUAAUUGUCAUAUCAAUAUGUAUCAAAUAAAGCUUUAUGCGUCACA